rnacentral:rRNA from 1 species
AUGGGGAAUAUUGGACAAUGGGCGAAAGCCUGAUCCAGCCAUGCCGCGUGUGUGAAGAAGGUCUUCGGAUUGUAAAGCACUUUAAGUUGGGAGGAAGGGCAGUAAGUUAAUACCUUGCUGUUUUGACGUUACCGACAGAAUAAGCACCGGCUAACUUCGUGCCAGCAGCCGCGGUAAUACGAAGGGUGCAAGCGUUAAUCGGAAUUACUGGGCGUAAAGCGCGCGUAGGUGGUUUUGUAAGUUGGAGGUGAAAUCCCCGGGCUCAACCUGGGAACUGCCUCCAAAACUGCAUGACUAGAGUACGGUAGAGGGUAGUGGAAUUUCCUGUGUAGCGGUGAAAUGCGUAGAUAUAGGAAGGAACACCAGUGGCGAAGGCGACUACCUGGACUGAUACUGACACUGAGGUGCGAAAGCGUGGGGAGCAAACAGGAUUAGAUACCCUUGUAGUCC